UCACUCGUGGCUUUGUUUUCGGGGCGCGGGCCUGGGGAGGCGCUGGUGGGGCGUGGCCCGUCUAGGUUUCUUUCCGAGCGUGCUGCAGAGCAGGGGGAAAAGCGUUUUUGCAUUGUGUCCGCGGAAAGAGUGCUCUUCUUGUUCGCUUUGGGAACUGUGUCUGCACGCCUGGUUCGGUGCUUGCUUGCUUUCUGCGCUUUACGCAUUCUGUUAUCGACUGAAAGAUUGUGUUGGUUGAUGGUUUGUAACGGCCGUUCUUUCGUCGCUCUCUUUGGCUUGUAUAUUUUGUUGCCUCGCUGUUUUGCUGCUUGCUUCUUUGCUUUUGCUGCUUUUUGCUGCUUUGCUUCUUUUUCUGCUUGCUUCUUUGCUUCUUUGGCCGCGAGGCUGCGGUAAUUGUUUGAGUGUUUCAUUAUAUCGUAAAUUACAGCGGUUUUUGUUCUUUCCGCCACUGGUCCUCUGUCGUGCUGGUAGCGGCUCGCGGACCCCCUGAGCGAAGGCGAGGGGCCUUCAACCUUCACAUGUUUCCCUUCAGUAGGAAAUUGCUGGACAGGCGGACCAGCGCACUGGAAUUGUACUGGCGAAUCUACAAGCAAGUCAUAGAAUCUGUGUAAUUGUUACACUUUGAACAAUCAUGCUUCAAUCGUAAGAAAGUUCGAGACCAACAUUGCAGCGCUCGCUGUGUGCCAGAAGUGCAGUGAUAAAUUGUUGUGCAUUCGC